rnacentral:lncRNA from 1 species
CCUCUUUCCACAACUCUCUUGGUUAGAUCAAAACAGUAGAGACAAAAACUGAAACAUGCCUGGGGUGCAGGAGAGAAGAAAGACUAUUUAGUGAAGUAGGCUAAUGGUGGUGGGGAGGAAGGGGGCUGAUUUUCACAUCUCAGAACUGUUAAGCCUGCAAAUAUUACUGAAAUCACAUCUGGGAACAAAGCUCUGCUUUAAGUAAGUUCACCCAUGAGUGUUGCUAAGCAAUGGAGAAGAGACGAGGGAGCAGGAGAGUGCCUGACUUUAGGAUUAGGAGGAUGGAUAGAAGUAAGGCUUCCACAUAGCUUUAUUUGUAAAAACUUUCAAGUUCUUUGUUUUUAGUGCCUGUCUUCCAAACUGCUUGUACCAUGAUUAAUCAGGUCUCAUUCAUUGUCUAUCCCAAUGCACACCCAGCACAAAGAGAGGUGCUGCGUCCUGGAGCACUGGCACAAACGUUUGCGCACGAGAACUGCCAACAUCUGUCUCUGGAUUUAACAGAGUGACCAGAAGAGCUGAUGAAUGAGAAGGCAAAAAUUACAGGUUUUGGAGACCUUUGAACAAAAGUCAUUUAAUCCACAGGAAAUUAAGAUCAUAUCUGAAAAGAGUCCUUGAUUUGAACUGGGAAUAAAAGUCUUCAUAAGAUUUGCCCA